rnacentral:rRNA from 1 species
UAUUGCACAAUGGGCGAAAGCCUGAUGCAGCAACGCCGCGUGAGCGAAGAAGGCCCUCGGGUCGUAAAGCUCUGCCCUCUAGGAAGAUAAUGACGGUACUUGAGGAGGAAGCCCCGGCUAACUACGUGCCCGCAGCCGCGGUAAUACGUAGGGGGCUAGCGUUAUCCGGAAUUACUGCGCGUAAAGGGUGCGUAGGUGGUCUCUUAAGUCAGAGGUGAAAGGCUACGGCUCAACCGUAGUAAGCCUUUGAAACUGGGGAACUUGAGUGCAGGAGAGGAGAGUGGAAUUCCUAGUGUAGCGGUGAAAUGCGUAGAUAUUAGGAGGAACACCAGUUGCGAAGGCGGCUCUCUGGACUGUAACUGACACUGAGGCACGAAAGCGUGGGGAGCAAACA